rnacentral:rRNA from 1 species
UGGGGAAUUUUGGACAAUGGGGGAAACCCUGAUCCAGCCAUCCCGCGUGUGCGAUGAAGGCCUUCGGGUUGUAAAGCACUUUUGGCAGGAAAGAAACGUCAUGGGUUAAUACCCCGUGAAACUGACGGUACCUGCAGAAUAAGCACCGGCUAACUACGUGCCAGCAGCCGCGGUAAUACGUAGGGUGCAAGCGUUAAUCGGAAUUACUGGGCGUAAAGCGUGCGCAGGCGGUUCGGAAAGAAAGAUGUGAAAUCCCAGAGCUCAACUUUGGAACUGCAUUUUUAACUAUCGGGCUAGAGUGUGUCAGAGGGAGGUGGAAUUCCGCGUGUAGCAGUGAAAUGCGUAGAUAUGCGGAGGAACACCGAUGGCGAAGGCAGCCUCCUGGGAUAACACUGACGCUCAUGCACGAAAGCGUGGGGAGCAAACAGG